UGCCCAGCAACUCCUAUCCCUACCUCCACGCGGUACCGGCCGGAAACUAGGGUAUCGCGCCACUUGGGCGGU
rnacentral:ribozyme from 1 species